rnacentral:tRNA from 1 species
GCCUGGCUGGCUCAGUUGGUGGAGCAUUUGACUCUUGAUCUUGGGGUCAUGAGUUCAGGUCCUAUGUUGGGUG